CAAGGAAUCUUCCGCAAUGGGCGAAAGCCUGACGGAGCAACGCCGCGUGUGGGAUGACGCCUUUCGGGGUGUAAACCACUUUUCUCAGGGAAGAAGCACUGACGGUACCUGAGGAAUAAGGACCGGCUAACUACGUGCCAGCAGCCGCGGUAAUACGUAGGGUCCGAGCGUUGUCCGGAGUUACUGGGCGUAAAGCGCGCGCAGGCGGCGGUGUAAGCAUGGCGUGAAAGCCCCAGGCUUAACCUGGGAGGGUCGUCGUGGACUGCACCGCUUGAGGGCGGUAGGGGCUGGUGGAAUGCCUGGUGUAGUGGUGAAAUGCGUAGAGAUCAGGCGGAACACCCGUGGCGAAGGCGGCCAGCUGGGCCGUCCCUGACGCUGAGGCGCGAAGGCAUGGGGAGCGAACGGG
rnacentral:rRNA from 1 species